rnacentral:rRNA from 1 species
UGAAGAGUUUGAUCAUGGCUCAGAUUGAACGCUGGCGGCAGGCCUAACACAUGCAAGUCGAACGGUAACAGGAAGCAGCUUGCUGCUUUGCUGACGAGUGGCGGACGGGUGAGUAAUGUCUGGGAAACUGCCUGAUGGAGGGGGAUAACUACUGGAAACGGUGGCUAAUACCGCAUAACGUCGCAAGACCAAAGAGGGGGACCUUCGGGCCUCUUGCCAUCAGAUGUGCCCAGAUGGGAUUAGCUUGUUGGUGAGGUAACGGCUCACCAAGGCGACGAUCCCUAGCUGGUCUGAGAGGAUGACCAGCCACACUGGAACUGAGACACGGUCCAGACUCCUACGGGAGGCAGCAGUGGGGAAUAUUGCACAAUGGGCGCAAGCCUGAUGCAGCCAUGCCGCGUGUAUGAAGAAGGCCUUCGGGUUGUAAAGUACUUUCAGCGGGGAGGAAGGUGUUGUGGUUAAUAACCGCAGCAAUUGACGUUACCCGCAGAAGAAGCACCGGCUAACUCCGUGCCAGCAGCCGCGGUAAUACGGAGGGUGCAAGCGUUAAUCGGAAUUACUGGGCGUAAAGCGCACGCAGGCGGUCUGUCAAGUCGGAUGUGAAAUCCCCGGGCUCAACCUGGGAACUGCAUUCGAAACUGGCAGGCUUGAGUCUUGUAGAGGGGGGU